GCAGAGGUGACAUUUUUCAUUUUGGUCUCGGGCAGGCUUUGUAAAACGCUUUGUGUGUGUUUGUGUGUGUGUGCGCAGUGUGUGUGUAGUUUUAAGAGCAGACCGGAGCGGACAAACUCAGCCAAGAGUAGAUGUGCGAUUAUGUCUUAAAGGGAGGGGCUUGCACGGGUAUUCAGUUUGGUUUUUAUCAUUGAGUGAAGUGGAGGACCGACUGCAGACUGGCUCCCUCUCCUCUCCUCAUACUCGACUCAACAGCUCUACUUUGUCCCGUUAAGAUCCACAGGGCACAAUCAUGGAGGAAAUGGACUUUGAGCGGCGCCGGGAGCUGAGGAGGCAGAAGCGGGAGGAGAUGCGCCUGGAGGCCGAACGGUUGGCAAGGAAUGAUGAUGAUGAGGAGGAGGCAGCCCGCGAGAGGAGGCGCAGGGCACGCCAGGAGAGGCUGAUGAGCAGGGAGAGUGAAGAGUCCAGUGGACAACCGGACAGUCUGGUCAUGACCAACAGCCACAGUGUGACAGAGACUGUGAGCAGCUCCUACGGAGGAGGUGGUGGAGACGACGAUGACCAAGCCCUGCAGGAGCGCAUGGCCAAGCGCGAGGAGAGACGGCUGAGACGCAUGAAGGAGGCGCUGGAGAGACAGAGGCAGCUGGACCCCACUGCGACCGAGGGCAACGACAGCGUCGCCACGGAGAAAGACAGUGCAGAAGAGGAGAGGCCAUCCUCCUGGCGUCGGGGUCGCUACCGUGACAAUGAGGAUGAAGAGGAGAAGACGGAGACAUACCGCUCAAGGAGAGAGGAGAAGGAGCAAGAGGAGCCGAGGGAGGAAGAAGAGGCUGCUCCUGAGGGUGAAGAGGAACCAGAGGAGGGUGUAGAUGAAGAGGAGGAGCAGAAAGUGGAGGUGUUGGAGGACAAACCGAGGAGGUCUUACUUGAGAGAACAGGAAUCAACUGAAGAACCUAAAAUUCAAAACAAGGAACUCGCUGAAGAAGAAACACAUUCAGUAGUCAGUGAGAGUUCAAACCAGGCCAAGUCAACAAAUUCGGAGGUUGAGCAGGAUGCAGUAAUAUCAGAGGAGCCUGAAGAGGUACCCAAGGAUGAUUAUGUAGAUUACAAGUUUAUGACAGUCAGAAAUGCCACUGAAGAGGACAAUGAGGUAGCUGAGAUACUGCACUCAGAGGAUAAUGAGGUGGACGAGAGAGGCAGGGCGAGGGAGGAGCAGGGAAAGCAGAACGGAGGGCUGUAUGAGGAGGCGACUCCCAAACAGCACAGGAAACCUGAGAGGACCCUCAGUCGCGGCAGUGUACGUUCCCCCGAGGUGUCCGCGGGUGACGAACAGGACGACGCGGCCCGCCUGGAGGCAGAGCGCAAGCUGGAGGAGCUGAAGCGUCGCCGCGACGACGCAGAGAGCGAGGAGUUUGAGAGGAUGAGGCAGAAGCAGCAGGAGGCCGAAGCCGAGCUGGAGGAGCUGAAGAGGAAGAGGGAGGAGAGGAGGAAGGUGCUGGAGGAAGAGGAGAGGCAGAAGAAGCAGGAGGAGGCGGAGAGAAAAGCCAGAGAGGAGGAGGAGAAGAGGAAGAUGAAGGAGGAGAUUGAAAAGAGGAGAGCGGAGGCAGCUGAGAAGAGACAGAAGGUGGAAGACACUCCGGAUGGGGAGGACCGACCCUUCAAGUGUGUCAGCCCUCGAGGCUCCUCUCUGAAGAUUGGAGAGAGGGCAGAGUUCCUGAACAAGUCGGCACAGAAAAGCACAGUGAAGGCGUCUCAUUCUCCUGUGGUGUCCAAGAUAGACAACAGGCUGGAGCAGUACACCUCAGCUGCUCAGCAGAGAGAGAACAAGGAGUCUCGAUCCCCUCGCUCUGGAGCGGUUGAUCUGCCCAUGGUCACCGACAGCAUACGAAGCAUCAAGAGCAUGUGGGAGAAAGGCAACGUGUUCGCCUCACCUGGAAGUGGCGGUAGCACGUUCAAGGAAGCAGCUGUGAUGAAGACAGGCGUGGCGGGCCGCAUCAACGACUGGCUGAAUAAAACCCCGGAGAGCGGCAAAACGUCAGGAGGAAGGCCGGCGGACCUGAAGCCUGUUGACGUCACCAACAAGAGGAGUCUAUGGGAAAACAAAGGUGCCUCUCCAACCAAGAACUCCCAUAGCUAGUUGACCUCACCGUUAAAUCUGGAAUAAGCCUGGAGAGGUGGCAGGCAGAGGGGAGACCAAAUCAGUCGCCAACGGUAUGGGACACUAAUGUCUUGAAGGAGCCACAAAAGCUGGGGACCACGACAAUCCAAGACUCUUCCUUUGACUUUGUCUUAAGAACCAAAUAAUGAUCAGACUCCCUAGAGGGACCCCAUGAAAACGGACGGACAGGAGAGACGCUGUCCAAGCACUGUACCAAAACAGCAUCUUUUUUUUGUACGGUUGCCACGAAUAGUGCCUUUGCACAAUGAUUUUUUUGCUUUCUAAAAGAAACAAAAUGCUGUGAAAUUUGGACAUUUGUAAUUACUAUUACUAAUUACUUAAUACAAUCCUGGAGGAGGAAAACAAAAAACAAAAACAAAUUAAAUUUAGAUUUAUGUGUGUUACUCCAUGCCGACAGUUUUGAUAGAGACAGAGUAGAUGACUUAAAAGUUUCCACAUUCCAAAGAGAUGGGUGAAAUCUGUUCUCUCCCUCCUACAGUACAUGUUCCAUCUCUUUUUUUAUUUAUAUUUAAAGCAAAAGCUUCACACAUUGCUAUUUUAUUCAACGUUCACCAGUUCAGGAUAGAAAUAUAAGCACUUCUAGAAUUUAGCUGAUUUCACUUUUAUUAUGUCUUACCAAUAGUGCAGCAAUGGUCUGAGUAAUAUAUGUUAGCACAUGUGAUGUUUUUGAAUAUGACCUAUCAUACUGUAUCUUAUAUAACAUCUUUAUAAUCAUAACAAAAGGUAUUUUUUGCUUUUUUUUUGUAUCCAGAAACUAUUCACCAACAGGCAGUUAAUUUCGGUGGUGAUAGGAGUGUUGAAUAUUCAGAAGGCCAUUAUGACUUUUAUUACCCUAUAUGUCAUUUUAUUUAUGUUUUAAUGUGUUUUGUCUUUUCUAUUUCUAGCUGUUAUUGUAGCUUUUGUACCUGUUUGGAUCACUUUAAAAUCUUCAGACAUUCCUUUUGAUAAAGCAGGUGCAUAAGGUGCCUUUGCUGCUUAAAAGCUUUAGGUUUUAUAAUGUAGGAAAUCGGCAAACCAACCCUCUUUUUUUAAUUCUACCUUUAACUUUCUUUAUUGCCUCUAUGCACACUCUUAUGCUCAGCGAUCAUUUUCUAAUUGAGGGCAUACAAAGUAAAACCAGGGUGCCUAAGCAUAUAGCAAGAUACUAAGAGGAUAUUUACCACUAUGUAAUUCUUCUGGCCUUAUGAUUGCAAUGAAAACAUUUAUGACAGCUGAGGUACAGUACAUGAUAGCCUCAAAGCAACUCAGUAUGAUAUUCAGACUUUUGAUUUUCAUGUUUCUUUUUCACUGACAUGGUUUUACAGUAAGUACAGUAAGCACAUUCCCUUUCAUAGUCUUUGCACGAUGCAAGCUUUGAUAUUAUUAACGGUUUGCCGGGGCAUUAAAUUGAUCAAUGUUACUGCUCAAAAGUCUGACAAUCACAUUCCAUGGCUCCUGAAAAGAGCAGGGGAGCUUGACCAAAAUACUUUUAAGUGUGAUUUAAUGUGACAUUUAUUUUUUUUUUAAUACAGUGGUUUCAUAAUGCCGUAUUGUUUUUUUUUUUACAACCUUGUGUCCAUUUUAUGUUUUUUAAUGUUCUUUUAUUUCCAUGUUUAACCAGACACUUGUUGUUUGUGUAGCGCUAAGCCUAUGCAAAUCACACUAUCUGUAGUCUCUCUAAACACUCCCAAUGUCAUACAAGUGGGCAGUAACCAACUGGAUGAAUGUUUUAAACAUUGUACCCUUGACUCAACAACAGCAAUAAAGACAUUGAGGUAUUCCA